AAAUAUAUUUGCGCUAAUGCAUACAUCCUUAUCUGCCCAUAGCCCUGGCACUGCAAAUGAUUCUAGUAAAUCAGCUCCACACAGCAGUUUCAAUUGCACACCAUCCUGCCUCUCACGCAAACCGGGAGGCAUCCAACCAGAACUUACUUCGUUUGGUACACAAUUCGUUAUUAACGUAAUAUGAUCCUUUGGAUUAGAGCCAUAGCGGGAUAUUACCACUAAACCAUGAUUGCACACAAUAUCUUCAAUCUUAAAAAAUAAGCAAAUGAAUGAAUUUGGAUAUGAAUGUCUGAAAUAUAUUUGCGCUAAUGCAUACAUCCUUAUCUGCCCAUAGCCCUGGCACUGCAAAUGAUUCUAGUAAAUCAGCUCCACACAGCAGUUUCAAUUGCACACCAUCCUGCCUCUCACGCAAACCGGGAGGCAUCCAACCAGGUAGUGUACCGUUCAUGUUAUUUUCUAGUGGUGAGUUGAUGUAGUUAUUCAUAUAAUUUUGAUGGUACUGCAGAACGGAGAUUGUGCGCGACCAUUCCGAUUGUUGUAUUUCCCAAUCCGAG